UUUCAGUGGAUGGAAACUGCAAGUAUUACCAUUUAAUGCAGCAAGAUUGGAGGAACAGGCUAUAUUUCAGGACCUUUUCAUAGCCAAGGAUGAAAACGUAGGAAAAUUUGUGGACUGUAUACACAAAUCAACCAAAAAUAUUUUGUGGUGGGCAAUGGUCAGCAGCCAGGGAGCUCUCUCACAGGUCCAGCAGCAAACUGGAUGAGGAGGCUUGGAGCUAGCGGCUGGCCAACAGACAAUCAUUUUUUUCCAUGGAUGUAACAUGCAAGUACUGGCCAUAUCUUGAAAACUAACAAAAAGCUGUCCUGAGCUCCAACACCUGCUUAAAAUGAAGCCAUUUCUCUCAAUUUUCCAUGGCAAAGCCCAUGAAUGUAAGGUAAGGAACACUGACCAGGCAUUGAAUAACCUUGCUGGUACAUACUGCAUAAAUAUCUUUGACACAGUUGAUGUUGUUUGUGCAGACACACAUGGACACUUGUGCCAAAGCUCAUCGCAAGAUCAGAAAGGAGAAAACAUCUUAGCAUUAGCUUUAGAAGAUGUUGGUCACUUGAAGACUGAUACAGACACAGAAGUUCUGUCUUUGGAAGAGAUCCUGUCUGGUGACACAACAUUUCCAUGGCAGCAAUCACACAGUGGUAAGUAAGCAUAC